rnacentral:lncRNA from 1 species
GGUUUAGAGUUGAUGUUUCAUGGUUUAGGGUUUAGAGUUGAUGAUUUAGGGUUUAGAGUUGAUGUUUUAAGUUUAGACUUAGGUUUAGGGCUUACGUUUUAGGGGUUAGAGUUGAUGUUUUAGGGUUUAGAUUUGAAGGUUUAGGAUUUAGGAUUUAGAGUUGAUGUUUCGCGGUUUAGGGUUUAGAGUUGAUAUUUCAUGGUUUAGGGUUUAGAGUUGAUGAUUUAGGGUUUAGAGUUAAUGUUUUAAGUUUAGAUUACUUAACUAUAUGUUUUUUUUGUCAAAGUUAAUCAAAGGGUUAUAAAUGUAUUUUACCCUUCAUUAAAGAUGAGGGUAAAAGUGGUUAUUGUAAACAUGAAAAGUGGUUUUUGGCAAUUUUUCCUAAAAUAUACUAUUACAAAAA